rnacentral:lncRNA from 1 species
GCGAGGUGGUACUAUGUUAUUCUGGAUCCAAUAGGUCGGUGGAACGUCGUGUGCGAAGAGAGUCCGGAACGGAGUCUAGAGGUGGGCGGGCGCCCAGGUCCACAGGGCGGGCGCCCUGGGCCUGGCCCCUUUCGGGCUCCGCUUCCUUCCCGUGGCUUCUGAAGUCUUCUAGAUGGUAGAAAAUUGCGCGGUGGGUUGAUAUCUCUAUGUAAUCCCGACAUGUGGGCCUUUCUUCCUUAUUUCCUGAUAACCCCCUGCAGAAAUAGACAAACACCAAAACUCGUGGAAUUCUGUCAAAUAAAACCCUAAGUCUAGAUGUUGAUUUCAUUUGGAUCCUUUUCUUUGUUUAUUUGAUAAUUGAAUUUGAUACUUAAGGACCGUCAACAAACUCCCCCAAGCUUACCUCUUGCUCGUCCAUGAGCAAGGAUGAACUCAAGAGUUUCUGCAGUGGUUUCAUUUCUUAGAAGUACACACGCAUUUAAGCAAGAUCUCAUCUCUGAGUUAGAAUAAACUGUUAAGACUUAAAACUUACUUACUUUACCUACACCAUAGGACUUGUAACCGUCACUUCUGUCUUGAGUGGUUAAAAGAUAGAACAGUCUAGCCAAGUGCCAUGUCUCUUAUUCUUGAUCAGCUAUAGCUCUGGGGUUUUUUUUUUGCAGAUUUUCAAAUAAAACUCAGAAAUUCCUGGUAUGAUUCUCUCAGGUCUCUCUUUUGUGGUAUUUUUGGAUCCUUACCAAGGCAGUGAUGGUAUAUGCCUUCUCUCAAGAUAUGUAGUAUUUGUGGUAUGAAGCAUAGUGACAUUGUCUUCUCUCUCACCCUACUCUAAUAAGGCUUUAAUAUCUGGAGCUCAUAGGUGGGAGAUAAAGUAUACAUACUUACAAGACAUUUAUUGCAUAGUCAAACCAUGGAUCCAAAGAAACAAAUCAAUAAGCCAAAUCAAGAUGUGCAUGUGUGGCGAAUGAAUGGUGUAUGGUGAUGAUGGUGAUAACAAUGGUGGUGGAAGUCUAAUUCUACUUUGCUCUUUGAGGGGAUACAUACCUUCCUUGCUUUUGAAACUUUAUGAGGAGAAUGAGAUGCUCUUCUUUUUCUUUUCUUUCGAGGUUCCGAGCACUUGCUCCUUUUUAUUUCCUCGUAUCUUUUAUUUUCUUUUUCUCUCUUUUUUUUUACUGAGCAUUCAUCUUUUGAGAUAAUAUAGCAAGUGGUAGUAACAAGAUAACUUGAGCAUUUAUUUCACAAGGGAAACAGAAAUAUUUUUGGUUAUUCUCUCCCGGAUUAGGAGUAGAAUAUUUUUGGGUGAUUCUGGAGAUGGAAUGGGUGAAUAUAUGUGGAUGGUACUUCCGGAGUAGAAGUAGCAUAUAUGAGUGAACGUGCAAGUGAAAUCUUGAUUUAACCACAUGACAAGUUCCUAAGGGUCUACACAGCUUGACUACACUCAAUGCUCAUAAGCAGUAAAUAGUAAAUGUGUGGCUCAAAGUCUAGCAAGCAUGUAUAUAUGGCUGUGGUAGGAAUUUAAACUCUCAUCAUACAGGAACUCAUCAUGCAAUAUUUUAAAGAUUUUCAAAGAUAAAAUUCUCCAGAAUUCUAGCAUCUCUAGGAACAGAUAAACAGCAGCUCAACCUUCCCAUAUCGUAUCUAUUAACAACUCAAACUUCAGAUCAAGUUUUCAUCCCACAAGUUUAGGUCUAGAGCAAGCCUUAAAUUAUAACAGUUAUAUCUAAACUUGAGAGAGAACUUCAAAUUUGCAAAUUAGGCAGAGCAACUAUUCAUCAUAUCCAUGCUUAAGUUUUAUUAGAUACAGAUUAGCAUAGCCACUUUAUUUAUUUAUUAAACAUACUAAGCAAAAUAUAUAUAAGCAUAAAAUCUUUAUUUGGUUUUUCAUAGUUAUGUGUAUUUAUAUUCUAAUAUAGUAUAAGUAUAAAGAUAGAUAGAAAUACUUAUCGAGAUAAAUGGGGGUGCUCUCCCCCAAGCUGAAUUUUGACGUAAUUUCUCUUGAUGUAGCUAGCAGGUGGCAGAGGUGUGUUUGAAAGUCAGCAGUAUUUUGACAGCGAUUAGAAUGUCCUCCGUCUGCUAGUCUUCUUGAUUCUUAAAUUCUGUGGAGCUCAAAUAGACAACAAAGCUUGUGGAACUGAUUAAGUGUUAGCAUAAAUAUCUAGCCUUUAUCAUCUUGAGACUCCUUAAUAAUAAUUAUUACUCCCUGUUUUUUUUAUAUUUUCAUUUUAUAAAGCAAAAAAAUAUUUAUUUUAUUUUUAUGCCACCACAGUGAAUGUACUUAUGGGUUUUAUGCCACUCGUCUACUCACAUGGGGCUUACAGUUUUUUCACAUUUUUAUUUUCUUUCUAGGAUAAUACGAACAUGAUUAACUAAGCAAACUAUAAUUGAAUAAUUGAAAGGAAAAGGAUAACUACCAAGUUUACCUCUUGGCAAGGCGUUCGGUGUUUUUUAAGUCCUCCGAACGGGACUCUCCGUUUUCUUAGUCGUCCUGAGGUUCGCUAGGUGGCAUAGUCGGUGAUUCCGGCGGCGCCUUCUCUUCGUGUAUAACUAUCUUCUCUUUCUACACCUGACUCGGUGCUACGGUCUCCUCGGGAUAGUUCUGUUCAAGUUGUAUGUCUUCAGUCCUUAUCACUUCUCCUUCGUAGUCUACCCAUCCGUCCGAUUUGCCUCCUCUGGUUGCGGUUUGUCUUCUUCUUGUCCUGACCUACUUAGAAUCUUCAACUAUAUAGUUAGAAUUAUUAAAGUAGUGGCGUACCUUCUCAGAGGGGAAGUGCAUGUGGACUUCUCCGAUUCCAAUAUAGAUAAUAGCUUUGAUAGUGCUGAGGAACGGUCUUCCAAGGAUGGUGGAUGGAUCAUACUCGUCUUCUCCCAUGACCUGAAAAUUGUCUGAAGCUGAAUGUAUCUUGGUUGUAGGAGCAUGGUUCCAUGUAGGAGCUGAUAAGUGACUGCGGCCAUUAUGUUGUCGUUAGAUCCGGUGUCGUAGAGUGUCUUCUAAAAAGAGUAUCCAUUGUUUGUGCAUUCGAUUCUUGGAACACCAGGGUCGUCCUUCUUGAUCAAGAAAGGUGACUUGAGUCGACGAUCUUGACCUCCUUGAGCUGCAGUGACCAUCUUAGCUGACUCGGUCCACAUUUGCUUGUUCCUGUUCCUCCUGUUGGUCCUCUUCCUUGGUUCAUGUCGGGAUUGCUCUGAAGUUUGUGUAGUCUUGUUCUUAAAGAAAAAUCUCCUUCUUUCCCUUGAUGUAGAGACUGAUCUUGGCAGCAUUAGCGUAGA